UUUCCCUAUUGGAAGAUAAUGGUGGAAGUGUUAGCUAUUAACAAUACUACAGUAUCACUAUAAUAUUAUUGCAAUAUUAACAUUGCAAUAUAUGAUAAUAAUAUUAUAAUAUAUGAUAAUAAUAUAUAUAUAAUAAUAUUGCAAUAUAUGAUAAUCAAAUCAAUGCAUUAUACACCUUAAACUUACACAAUGUUAUAUGUCAAUGAUACCUCAAUAAGUCUGGACAAAAAGAAGAUAUUGGACUGUUAUGGAAUGAGAAAAGAAUUUUUUUUUGAAAUUAUUAGUAUCUAUCACACUGAAAAAGAGGUUAAAAGGAAUACAAUUAUGGUUCCGCAAACAGAUGCAGAAGACCCAAGUUUGAACCCUGGAUUGGGAAGAUCCACUGGGAGAGAGCAUGGCAACCUACUCCAGUAUUCUUGCCUGGAGAAUCCCAUGGACAGAGGAGCCUGGUGGGCUACGGACCAUAGGGUCACCAAGAGUUGGACAGGACAAGCAACUGAGCAUAGGACAACCAUGGCUUUUCCCAAGCUCCUCUGGGGAGCGCUGGACUUCUGGGCAGUCACAUUACUGUGUGAAGCUGAACUUAUGACAUUAGGAUGCAAUUUAACAAGCCUUGGAGAUGCUGCUUGAGGUCCAGUGAGUGUUGCUUCAAGACCAUGGUUGGAGCUGAGAAUCCUUGGGAGGUUGGAAAUUGCAGCUUAGGAGUCUUCCUUCCAAGAUCUUACUGUUUCUCAUGAAGAAGGGAAUCUCAGGAUACACCAACACUGAUCUCCUGCUUUCAGGCCUAUUUGCCAAAGGCAAUUUACUGAAUAAUCAAGUCAACACUGUCAAAGAAAUACAGUAAGCUGGGUCCAGGACAGUCCUCUGCAAAGACAAAGGCAAGGGCAGAGGUGGAGCCCCAGAAACAGCACCCCACAUGGCAGGAGCUGAAUGAACAGACAUUAUUGAAUGAAUGGAUGUCUAUGACUCAGAAGUUGAACUGCAGCACAGAAAAACUGACCCCAUACAAGAAGCGGUCGUCCCUUUAUGGUUCAGGGGAUCUUCCCUGACCCAGGGAUUGAAACCGUGUCUCCUGAACGUCCCCUGCACGUCCCCUGCAAGGCAGAUGAAAUCUUUACCCCUGACUCACUGCGGAAGCCCGACUUAAGAUGUGACCUGGCUAAUAUCUCCAUCCUUGAGGUCGUAUGAAGGAGACAAAGUGAUCAAAGAAAGCAACAAUGACUUGGCACACCUCUGGUUAAUUUGUUAAUAUCCUUCUGUAUCUGCGUGGGUGGAAGAGUAAAGUAGAACAUACAAGCGACUCUACCCACAUUUGAAAGCUGUAUUCCUAGAAAAUAUGCCCCCUACAUAUCAUAGAUUCUGACCAGCUAGAGCAAGAGUUCCCCAUCUUGGAGGGAGGGGGACAGAGUUCCUUUCUUAAGAGCACAGUGUAGAGGAGAGUGCUGUCCUGUGGUCACCUGCCUACUUGUCUUUAUCCUUCACAAAAAUGGAGUUUCUUGAGGUACUUGAAGACUGAGUGUUUUGGAGAAAAAUGCAUAUAUCUUCUAUGAGGUACUGCAGUAGUAAUAUUUACCAGACACUUAGUAGUACUUGCUAAAUUAAUUGUACACUCCUUAUCUUAUAGUCUGUUAGAGUAACUCUCCACAUGUUGUACCUGGAAUUAAACGAAACUCCUCAUGUAUGAAAUGCC
ensembl:lncRNA